rnacentral:tRNA from 1 species
GACGAUCUCGAUGGGGCAGACGCACCGGGCGAUCCCCGGCACCGCCGCGCUGGCGGUGGCCGUCGCCGCAGCGGUGCCGGGCUCGCUGGUCGCCG